GAUGAACGCUGGCGGCGUGCCUAAUACAUGCAAGUCGAGCGAACAGAUGAGAAGCUUACUUCUCUGAUGUUAGCGGCGGACGGGUGAGUAACACGUGGGUAACCUACCUAUAAGACUGGGAUAACUCCGGGAAACCGGGGCUAAUACCGGAUAAUAUUUUGAACCGCAUGGUUCAAUAGUGAAAGACGGUUUCGGCUGUCACUUAUAGAUGGACCCGCGCCGUAUUAGCUAGUUGGUAAGGUAACGGCUUACCAAGGCGACGAUACGUAGCCGACCUGAGAGGGUGAUCGGCCACAAUGGAACUGAGACACGGUCCAGACUCCUACGGGAGGCAGCAGUAGGGAAUCUUCCGCAAUGGGCGAAAGCCUGACGGAGCAACGCCGCGUGAGUGAUGAAGGUCUUCGGAUCGUAAAACUCUGUUGUUAGGGAAGAACAAAUUUGUUAGUAACUGAACAAGUCUUGACGGUACCUAACCAGAAAGCCACGGCUAACUACGUGCCAGCAGCCGCGGUAA
rnacentral:rRNA from 1 species